AAGGCUGUACUUUCUUGGAUCGUAUCCAUAGUCAUUGACUUCAGAAAUGUCUUUCAAAGCUGUAUGGUCACGCUAAUCACUACGAUGAAUUAUGAUGUUCUCCCUUGAGCAUGAAGCAGUCAGUAUGUGCAUUAAUGAGCAUGCUUACCGUCACUGAUGAUUGUUCUUUGUUUUCCUAUAGAGCAAGGAAGGAGAGAGCAUGAUCUGAGUGGC
rfam:Xiphophorus maculatus strain JP 163 A Contig165.26, whole genome shotgun sequence.